UGAGUAACCUGCCCCAAACUCUGGGAUAAACACUGGAAACGGUGUCUAAUACCGGAUAUGAACUUCAGCCGCAUGGCUAGGAGUUGGAAAGAAUUUCGGUUUGGGAUGGACUCGCGGCCUAUCAGCUAGUUGGUGAGGUAAUGGCUCACCAAGGCGACGACGGGUAGCCGGCCUGAGAGGGUGACCGGCCACACUGGGACUGAGACACGGCCCAGACUCCUACGGGAGGCAG
rnacentral:rRNA from 1 species